rnacentral:rRNA from 1 species
CGGCCGCGGUAUCCUGACCGUGCAAAGGUAGCAUAAUCAUUUGCCUUUUAAUUGGAGGCUAGUAUGAAUGGGUAGACGUAGAUUUAGCUGUUUCUUUACUAUAAAUAAAACUUAAACUUUAGGUGAAGAUGCCUAAUUUUUAUAGAAAGACAAGAAGACCCUAUAGAGUUUUAGUUAAAUAUAUCCCUCUAUAAUAUUAUAACUUUGGUUGGGGCGACCUAGGAUUUUAUUAAACAUCCUAUUUAUUAUAAGAUAAAUUUAAUCUCAUUUAUAGACCCUAAAACGGAUUAUCAGAAUUAACUACCUUAGGGAUAACAGGCUUAUCUUCCUAGAGAGCUCUUAUUGAUAGGAUGGUUUGGCACCUCGAUGUUGGCUUAGA